CUAUAUAAUUUUAAUUUUAUUUGCGCUCCCCAAGUAACUAUUAAAGUAACUGUUAAAAAAGUUACAAGUUACUAAAAAUAAGUAACUAAGUUAAGUUACAGUUACCGAAGAAAUAUAACUGCAACUAUAAUACUAUACUUCGUUACAAGUAACGAGUUACUUCCCAACCCUGAAAAUGUAUAUAGUCAUAUGUAGUAUUAUAUAAAUGCGCGUAAUUGGUAAUAUAUAGAGUGUCGGGUAACUCACAGAAGAGUCGCGGUAUACAGGUAGAUUAAGUCAAACUGAACGAAAAAUUCAUUUUGCGAACAACGAAAAAAUUCUGAGUUGUUAAUCAAAGGAGAUUCAUGAAUGAUCAUGCGCCAUACGGUAGAUGAGCUGUGAUAGCGACGUCUACAUGCUUAUAUAUUGGGUCAAAUUGAACAAAAAAGUCCUGUUUUUACUAUUUUCCAAAUGACCACGUACAUAUUUAGUUAUCAAUUAAAGAAGAUUGGUGUACAGUUAAUAAUGCACCAAUCUCCUUAAAUUAAUAACUAAACAUCUAUAUUGUUACGUCCGACGUAAUUUCUCUUCAGUUCGACCAAGUGCACCUUCUGUUACCACCAGGAAUGCAAUAAAUGCCCUAGGUGGUCAAAGAACAAUGGACUGAUAAUAAGGUGUCAAAAUUUCACUAUUGAUUAUUACUCACAUGUCGUGAGAAACAUCUUUCCCCUUCUACUAAAAGGUGGUGAGAACUCACGCGGGGGUAUCUCGCCACCUGCCUAUAAAAACGGGUGUGACUGCCCACACAGUAGUAGUGAGACAAGAAAUCAGACUAGAAAUAAGAAGUAAUAAUUCUAAUAGAAACAAGAAGUAAUAAUUCUAAUAGAGACAAGAAAUCAGACUAGAAACAAGGAAUCAGUCAAUCAAUCAGACGAUCAAUCAGUCAAUUUAUAAUUAAUUAAUUGAACUUAUAAAAUUCAAACAAUAUACAUAACAAUUGGGUCACUAAGAUAAAACAUUAAAAUUCGUAAAUAAGUCACUGGAAACAUAAAGGUUUAUUUUCCUAACAUAUCCCCUGACCUAAGCGUCACGUUACACUUUAUUCAUAUUUCCAAACCUACACCAACCUCUUAAGUCCGAUCCUAAGCUCUUCAGUCUCUCUGUUACUACAGAACGAGAAGAACUUCAAAUAAUUUAAAAUUUCUUAAAAGAAAGAAUCAUUACAACCAAAAUCAAGCAGAGCGACCUCCCUCGCAGCAAGUCAGUCUGACAGACAAGGAUCCAUCGUGAGAUUAGACGGCGAAAAUAGGAUUAUCGAAAAUCGUUUAAAGACUCGACAUCGAGAGAGCGCGUUACAAUGGCUGAAAGAACGCCGCCGGCUGACGGUGAGAAAGCGGCAGAAAUCGCGCCGGAUAAGACGGUGGAUGUCGACGGUGGCGUUUUGUCGACGGAGACGCCGGCAGUCGCGGAGGACGGCAGCGAGAUUAAAAGACGAGCCAAGAGGAACAUCAUCACCGCACCUGAAUGGCAAUCCGUGGAGAUCGAGCGGGACGGGACGAGGUAUCGCCGUGACGCGAACGGACAGUGGAGGCCGGUUUUGUAUUGAUUAACGUUUCCAUACGAACACGCACGUAGCCAAAUUUACUUAAUCGCAGCUACUUUCCCCACCACAUUGGUUCGAUAAUAGUAUCUCAACAAUGUGAACUGAAAACAAAAGGUUCGAAGACAUCAGUAUUUCAGCAAUAGAAUUUUAGCUGAACACCGAAUGCACAGUAACAUAACAAAAUAUCGUCGCCACAGCACAACUAUGUAAUGACAAAAAUAUUUUGUGCACCGACGAAGCUUUAAUAAAUUCACGUUAUUAGUCCUGUCUGCAAUGCAUUUUUAUUUAAAUUAUAUUACAUGUUACAUAUAAAAAUACAAUGAGAGAAAUAGAGAGAAUUAUAUUUCUCUUAUAAGUACUUAUAAUAAGUACUUAUAAUAAGUACUACAUCAGCCAUGCGUCACAUAUGCAUGUAUAAUACCGAUAAUUUUUCUUUAUGUUCAUAUAAACAAACUAAGUAUAUCUUACAAAAUUACGUUAAUAAAAAUACAUAUUGGAAUGUAGGGAAUGUUUCACUAAAACGCAAUAGCGUGUUCAUUAUCACAAACUCUGAAUACAAAGAAUGAAAUAAGUAUUCGGAAUAGUUUUACACCUGAGGAAUAUAAAUUUUUAUUAGGAAGAGAGAGAAAGAGAGAAAAAGAGGAGAUACGAUAUCUUUUAUAUCACUUUUACUUAAUAACCUUUUACUUUACUGAUACAUAUCAUUGCACUUCUUGCACAACUGAAAACUGCAACUAGUAUUUACCAAGAUAUAGUGGACCAUUUCACAUUGAUUUAGUCGAAGUCUUAUUUUUAAAACGCCUUUUACAAUGAGAUUGAUGUGAACUAAAAACGUGAGUUAGUGGAGUAGUGUUCUGCGCGUAAAUAAAGAUUACGGAAUUUGCACAAUUACCAUUGCCUAUAAUUGAAAGCAGUUUUGUAAAAUUGUCAAAAUUUUGUUAUAAGAAUCUAAAUAACACUAAUUAGUUUUAACAGAUAAUUUAUAAUUGUUUUCUUAAAACAAUUAUACGUUAAAUUAUACAAUGUUAAAAAUUAUACAAUGUUAAAAGUAUAAAUAUAACGUAACAAUGUUACGUUAAAUUUAUACUUUUUAGACAAUCUUUUAGACAAACUGUAUAAAAAGCCACAGGAGAAGACAGUUUCUUUAUGCUUUCAGCGCAUAUACUGGAUAUUCUUCUGUUUCGGUAUUUCUUCUGUUUACUUCACUGCUAUUCAUUUUUUCACACGUGUAAUCUUUAGUCGCGGCAAUUACAUGGUAAUCUGCAUCUUACUUGAUUCACAAUGCGGAAAUUGCAUCAUAUGGUGCAAUAAUUCUAUGCUAUAAAUGUGAAAUACGCGUUAGGAAAGCGGCAAAACACUCGGUGUAGUGAAUAAUAUAAAGAACAUAACGCGCCAAAGUGAAAUAAAUACGAUACGCGAAUACGCGGAUAUAGCACUUUGAUUUGAGAUAAUAAAGAGAAAGAAAUCCAGAAAAGGAGAUACGAAGUUUUGAAAACACAAACUUCGAUCGAAUUUCGAUUCAAUUUAUAAAUAAAAUCCGUGUUGUUUUUUUGUAUUGCUGCAACAUGAAAUUUUACGUCUGUAUUCUAUUAGUGUUAAUGGUACUCAGUUUAGUGCCAGAGGACCUUUGCCAGAGAAGAAAUAAUUGGAGAAGAAGAAAUUGGAGAAGAGGAAAUUGGAGAAGUGGAAAUUGGAGAAAUGGAAAUUGGAGAGGAAAAAAUUGGAAAGAUGACUAUCCUAUCGUGAAUGCGAAAAUGUGUGCCGCAGGUGAAAGCUUCGAGAUGGGACGAUGUCGCAAGUUCGGGAAAUAGAGUUGACAGGUUCGAAGAUAUCAGUAUUUCAGCAAUAGAAUUUCAGCUGAACACUGAAUGCACAGUAACAUACCAAAAUAUCGUCGCCGCAGCCAUAUAAUGACAAAAAUAUUCUGUGCACCGACGAAGCUUCAAUAAAUUCACGUUAUUAAUCCUGUCUGCAAUGCAUUUUUAUUUAAAUUAUACUAAAUGUUAUAUAUAAAAAUACAAUGAGAGAAAUAGAGAGAA